rnacentral:rRNA from 1 species
ACCCGCUGAACUUAAGCAUAUCAAUAAGCGGAGGAAAAGAAACCAUCAGGGAUUGCUCUAGUAACGGCGAGUGAAGCAGCAAUAGCUCAAAUUUGAAAUCUGGCGUCUUCGACGUCCGAGUUGUAAUUUGUAGAGGAUGCUUCUGAGUAACCACCGACCUAAGUUCCUUGGAACAGGACGUCAUAGAGGGUGAGAAUCCCGUAUGCGGUCGGAAAGGUGCUCUAUACGUAGCUCCUUCGACGAGUCGAGUUGUUUGGGAAUGCAGCUCUAAAUGGGAGGUAAAUUUCUUCUAAAGCUAAAUAUUGGCCAGAGACCGAUAGCGCACAAGUAGAGUGAUCGAAAGAUGAAAAGCACUUUGGAAAGAGAGUUAAAAAGCACGUGAAAUUGUUAAAGGGGAAGGGAUUGCAACCAGACUUGCUCGCGGUGUUCCGCCGGUCUUCUGACCGGUCUACUCGCCGCGUUGCAGGCCAGCAUCGUCUGGUGCCGCUGGAUAAGACUUGAGGAAUGUAGCUCCCUCGGGAGUGUUAUAGCCUCUUGUGAUGCAGCGAGCGCCGGGCGAGGUCCGCGCUUCGGCUAGGAUGCUGGCGUAAUGGUCGUAAUCCGCCCGUCUUGAAACACGGACC